rnacentral:tRNA from 1 species
GGGGAUUUAGCUCAGCGGUAGAGCGCUUGCCUAGCAAGCGCAAGGUCCUGGGUUCGGUCCCCAGCUCCA